rnacentral:rRNA from 1 species
GUGCCAGCCGCCGCGGUAAUACCGGCAGCCCGAGUGAUGGCCGAUAUUAUUGGGCCUAAGGCGUCCGUAGCUGGCUGCGCAAGUCCGUCGGGAAAUCCACUCGCCCAACGAGUGGGCGUCCGACGGAAACUGCACAGCUUGGGACCGGAAGGCUCGAAGGGUACGUUCGGGGUAGGAGUGAAAUCCCAUAAUCCCGCACGGACCACCGAUGGCGAAAGCACGUCGGGAAGACGGAUCCGGCGGUGAGGGACGAAAGCCAGGGUCUCCAACCGGAUUAGAAACCCGAGUAGUCC